CGGGUGGUUUCGGGGGUGGCCCGAGCCCGCCGAGCUGCCCGGGGGCGGCCGGCCGGCGGGGCCCUCGCCUCGGGGUGCCCGGUGGCGAACGGUCCCGGCGCUUUGGUACCACCAAAAAAAGGUAUAAUUACGCUACCGGGUAUAAAUUGACUCUGUGUACCACUGAAUCAUACUGAAUAUUUGUAAUGUGUUCCUUCCCUAAUAGAUGCUCUCUAUGAAUAGAGAGAGCGCCUAUUUACUCUGAAAUAUUUGGCACAGCGGCCGGAGUCUGAAGCGUGGAAGAAGUGGCUAUUAUUUUCCCACUGCGUGUGUGCAGCUGUCAUUUCUGAGCAACACGUUCCUCGCAUAUCCCUGCUUCCCAACCUUGCUGAUGGUCCACCCCAGGAUCGCAACAAGAAGAGGCUGGCAUGCCACCGCACUCAGCCAAAACCUUAACGCUGUGGAUGGACCAUUCUUGAGCUUGGAGGAGGUGAUCCUGCAAAACCAGUAAGAAGCACCAGAGUGGCUGAAGAAAACCAGUAAGAAGCAGAGUGGGGCAGAAAGAAGCCAUGAGCACAGAGCAACAGGCAGAAGCUGUUAUGCACAUAAUCCAACUUCCUGGGCCACCCACAGCUUCACUGCAGGAAUUAGGAAGGACUGAGUGUGUCCCACAGCAAGAGUAAAACAAAUUGAGACUAAGAAGUAAGGAGGAUAGGUGUUUGACUUAAGGUGAGCGUGAGGAAGGAGUAGAAAAGAUGUUACGUGUUUAAUUGUUUAUGUUCUCUCUUUCUGUUUUUUCUCAAUACUUGGAUCAGUGAUCAGAAAUUUCUGUUAAUUGGUAAUAAAUUAAAUUAAGUAAAAUUGCCCAGUUUUUGCCUGUGACACUAGCAAGUGCAAUAGUCCAACUUUCAUUUCACAGCACCACAGACACCCUUUGGCAUAUUCUGCUUCGAUAACGUGGAGGUCCAUUAAAAUCUUUGGAAACUACAGGUAAACUCACAUUAAGACUCUUUACACUGUCCAAGUACUCUAGAGAGUUCUGGUAUAUAGCAGGGGAAAGCCAGCUGAGCUGUCGAGCCGACAGCAAGCUUUGACUACAUUAAUAAAAUACUGAGUCAAAGCUGAUUAAUUUUGCUGUGCGACAGAUACAUUGGUUUGAGUUUAGUGCUGCACUUCUGUAAUUGCUCAACUUCCAAACUACAUCUGGUUUAUGUCUGUUUUGGAGCCAUGGAGCAGAUGCACAAAGGACUGCACCCAUCUCUAGAUAUUUUGUGCUGGGUAUGUCUCUACCAUGCUUUGAGCAUGAACUGCUGCGUGUUCGCACUGUGAGGGAAUAAAAUUCUGCUCUCGUCUGACUGUGGAAAAGCCUCUGAAUGUGUUGCAAAGAAUGUUUGGACACAGACUCCUUGUGAAGGCUCUGACACACAGCUAUAGACAGUAUCAAUGCGCUGCCACCAUGAUUUUGUCUGUCCUUGUAGACUUAUUUCAUGGCUGACAUUGUGCAGACAAGGUCCUCUCAGGAAAGGCUCCUUUAUAAUGUGCUAGAGGGAUAAAUAGAUAAGAUUUGGAAGUUCUCUGAUUUGUCCUUGUAAAAGCACAGGCUCCCAAAUCUGAAAAGCAAGUGUCCUACAUUGAACUCAAGUCUGGGAGCUGUAGAAUAAAGGAAUUUUAUGGGCAGGGCUAGAAUCUUUGUUUCAUUAAUGUGUAUGUUUAAAAAAUGCAAGUUCUCAGAUUAAAAAAAAAAAACCAACAAAACAACAGAGAAACCGUUACAUGAGAUGUCAGUCUUUCUUCUAAUACUAUUUCCAAACAUUUUUUAUGAGAUGCAUAACAAGCUGAAGAACUUGGAAAGGGCAUGGUUGAUCUGAGGGUCCCUCUACUAUGUGGCCAAGAACAGAUGUAUAUGGAGACAUCCAGAUAUAUUAAAAAGAGUAUUCUGGCAGAAUCUUGUGAACAAAAAACUAGAUAACAUGUCCAUGUCAGCAUGUUGUACUGUCAGGGAGGAUUAAUUCUCUGCUUAGCAUCCAAAACAUAUGGAAUUCACUGGGAACUGGAGCAACAACUCCUACUAGGAGUGGGUCAACCUUUUUCC
ensembl:lncRNA